CGGCCUGAGGGUGAGCUGCAGUGCCGCGGCGCGGAACCGUAGUCGAAAACCUCACAAAUAAAAGUGUAAAAAGGUUUUUCACAAGCAUUCUGCAUUGGCAGUGGAGGAAUGCUAGCUGCUUGCUGUUAAAGUGGGGAAGUUUCUUUUUUUUUUCGCCCGCCACUGUGAGGAGCGUCAGAGCAGGAGAAUUUGAAUCCAGUCAUAGUGACAUGCAGCUUUGUCCUCAGGUAUUAACUCUGCCAAGAGCCUCCUCACUAUAAACGUUUCAGUAAAGACCUUUUUUUUAGUAAAAUAAAAGAAGAAGAUAGAGAGAAAAAAGACAUUAAAAAGACAAUGGGACCAUCUUGGUAUUAUCAUCUAUGUUUACUUUGCAGUACACCAAGUCUUUCUUAUUCAUCCAAGAACCACCAAAGAUUGUCUUCUUAUUAUUGCUGACUUGUAUCUCACCUUGAGCAUUUGCCUGCCGAGGUGUCAGAUGCAGGAUGUGCCCUAUGCGAGGACACUGGCAGACAGCACACCUGUGGGACGUGUGCCCAGGCAGAGGAACACCUCUGCUUAGGGACAGAACUGUGGGAGGAGGUGAGUACAUUCAGCAGCAUCAGGGAGUCUGAGUGAGAGACAGACUGCUUGAAAAACCCCCUACCUUCCCAGGGACAAAUCUGUCAGGCAGACAGGGUGCAUGAUACAGGGUAUUCCCUAUCUGAUCUUUAAUUUGCAGAACAUCAUGACUUAAGAGAUCGGGGGGGAAAUGGUGACAAUUUCCUGCCUUGCACAGUGGAGCAUCCCCUCCAUUCCUAUCCCGCCCUCCCAGGUGCCCUGGUAUAUAACAGCUACAAGGCUCUGCAAGUGCAGCUGAACAGCGACAAGAAGGAUUGUUCAUCUAGGUCAGAGAUGUCACUGAGGUUAAGUCAGCUUAAGUCACUCCCUGUGUCAAGACUGCUCCCAUACAGAAAAAGAGAAAAGACAUGUCAUUGUCAUAGGAGACUUUCUUCUGAGAGGAACAAAAAACCCAAUAUGCACACUGGAUCCAGUUCUUAAAGAAAGUCUGCUGCCCCUCAAAGCCUGUGUUAAAGACAGUAGGAGGAAGUUUUCUACUCUGGUACAGUCCUCAGAUUAUUAACUAUUAAUACUUUUUCAAGCAAGCAGUGAUGAAAUUGCAAUAAGAAGUCCAAGGGCAAUCAAAAAGGGAAUUCAGCAUCUUGAGACUUAACUGGUUAAGGAAUCAGGAGCACAUGUAAAAUUCUCUAUUGUUCCAGUUGCAGGGAAUGAUGAAGGAAGAAAGAGGAAUCAGAUCAAGAGAAUAACAGAUCAGUAUCUGAAUGUAAGACUGCUCAGACUUGUCCCUGGCAGAAUUUUGUGGGUUUUGAUCAUCAUAGUGCUCCCAGGCUUAUUUCUAGUGAGCCUGUUUUUAUGCCUUUUCCUCUUCAAAUCUAGUUUAAAACUACUUUAAUGAGGCCUGCUAACUCCUGAGUAAAGAUCCUUUUCUCACUUUAAGACAGGUGCACCCCAUUUGUCGGCAGCAGGCCUGAUGAUCAAAAAUAUUCAAGGGUUGUAUGCGAGUGGACACAGCAGAUUUCAGUUGGCCAUAUACUAAUUUGUGCAGAAGGAAUGGGUUUUGAAGUGUUAGAACAGUCACACAAGAAUUAGGUUUUCUGCCCCUAAAAAGGUGGCAGGAUUGAUAGCCCAACUAAAAUGGAUCUGCACCAGUGCAAAGUAUUACAAAGCCCAAAACCUACAAUGCAAGCAGUCAUGGAGAAAUGGUGGGAUAACUUGCGCUUCUGGAAUGCUGCAACAGGCGGCUAUAAACUAUUCAGAAUCAGCAGGGAAAGACAGCCUCUUUAGGAAGUGGAGGGGUUAGCGAGUGUUUUGACUGUCAUCAAGAGCUUAGUGAUGAAAGAAUAAAACAUGCUUUAUUGAAAUUUGUUUUGCUCUUUUCUAAUUGCAUUUAUUGACUUCAAACUAAGGAAAACUCCGAACUAAGGAAAACUCCAAACAGUAGGGACAACUUAUUGACUUUCACACUUCAAUAAUUGUACCAGACUUGGAAAAGUCAUUUCAUCUAAAUGAAACAAUAUAAAGACAAUGGUGGUGUUAAAAAAAAUUUGCAUAUUACUUCUAUUCAGCCCACUUCUUUCUAAUAAUUUGUGAGACUGUUUUAAUCUAUCUGAAAUUAUAUAGACUUAAAAACCCCCAAGAUACAACUGUAAAAAACACCUAAUCCACUGAGAACAUGUCAUAAAAUAGCCUGUUUCAACUACAGUCAGUUUCUAUUACAUUAUAUUAAUGUGUUUGUCCAUUUUAUUUGAUCUUUUAAUUAUUCUUCAACAAAUUAAUGUUAUUAGGCUUCUCUUUUAGCAACAGAAUUAGAACUGUAGCACUUAAAGUAUGCAUUUGUCAAUCUGUACUCAAAUUUCUGUGAAGAAGAUAGAGACUGUCCAGUAUCUUUUGCUAUAUUACUAUCUUCACCUAUCCUGCAUGUCUAAGGAAACAACAUAAUUAACUUCAGGUGAAUUCAUAUUUUAAGUUAGCUCAUAAAAUCAAAUCAAGUAGUGAAUGCUAGGUACAAUACUUAAGUUAGCAUUGGUUACAAAAAUUUUUUCAUCUAGACAAUGGUUAAACUAAUUAUUGAUUAAAUAAUUUAUGAGUGCAA